ACUUUCAAAUAAAAACACUGUUCAGUACUCACUGUAAGAACGGAACUGCAAUGCAUUUCCUAUGAAGGGGACGUUGUAAAUCCCCUCGGGUCCCGGGACAUGUGAGAGAGUUCGGGCAGCCCCGGGGCAUUUCUCGCUGCCUUUGAAUGCUCGGGAUACAGUGGAUGUGACAUACUGGCAAGCGAGAGCUCUUUGGAAACUGUUGUAGUGGGUUUUACAAAUCAGCCGAGUCAUGCCUGCUGAAACAUAAAAAGAUAUGCCGCCUUUAUUGUCUCUUCGUGUAUCUCUAUAUCUACAUUAAUAUACCGCUCAAUUAAAUACUAAACAUUUCAUCAUUUUGUACAUAUUUGUCUACGAGUUCACCCACGAUUGGAGAAUCACGUAAUUGGAUUAUCUUAUAAAUGUCUCUAUUUAAUUUACACGUGUUUAAUUACAAAUAAACUGUUUUUAUUCUCUGAUUAUUAAUAUAAUUGCAUUAUGUUUUCUGUAUAUCUGCCUUUUAAAAUAUAUAUGUAAAUUGUUUUAUUGUUCGUUUGUAACAUCUGGUGUUGUUAAUUGAAUAAAUGAACUUGAAUUUGUGUAUGU
rnacentral:misc_RNA from 1 species